AACCGGUGCUGUGGCCUGGUGCAAAAAAAAAAUAUGUUUAUGUAAGGAGAUGGCAUUGCUCAACGGCUACAAAGGAAAAGAAAUCAUCUUAGCAGGAUUCCAAAUUUGUCCAGAUGCCACCUAAUUUGCUGAGUAUUUCCAGGAUUUCACUCAGAAGUAUUGGAUUCAAAAUCAUUGGACAGGUUUUAUCAUCCAUAGUGGGGAUUGCCUCAUUAUGAUGUACAGUGUCAGUUCCUAUGAAUAUCAUGUUCUGCCGGGUCAUUAUUUUGAACAUCAGACCACAUUCCAGCGAACACUGCAACACUCCGAAUGUGGCAACUUUCUCGUUUGCGGCUAUAUUAUACAAUUACAUUGUCAACAGUAAAUUCAUGGUAACAUACGAUUAGAAUGAGAAUAAGACUUAACUGUAGGUGAUUCAAUUACCUUUUAUCCAGAGUUGCAAUUUUAUAUCAUUAGAGUCAAUAUGAGUUCAUCUCAAAAGCAGCUGAUUCUUGAUUUUUAAUGGCAGAGUAAUAUUUCAUAAUGUGAAAACUGCUCAAGUUAAGUCUAGUGGAGUUUAUUGUCCUAUGCACAAGUAUGGUGAGAUACAGGUACAAUGAAAAUCUCGCCUGUAGCAGCAUCACAGGCACAUAGACUCUUAUACCACACAAAUACAUACAUUAUAUGUAAAUGACGCAUAAAUUCUACAAGACAGUGAAAUGAAAAGACUACAAAAAAUAAGUCAUUAGUGCAAAAAUACACAAUUAAAGAACAAGUCAAUGGGAGUGCCAGAUGAGGUCCAUAGUGGUCCAUUGCUGGUCGGAUUAGAGUCGUACAGAUCAGUUCAAGAACCUGGUAGUUGUAGGAUUGUUCCUGAACCUGAUGGUGUGGGACUUCAAUCUUCUGUAGCACCUGCCUGACAGUGGCAGCGAGAAGAGAGUAUGGCCUGGACAGUGGGGAACAUUGGUAAUAGAUGCCGCCUUCUUGAAGGUGAGCAGGGCUGUGCCCUUGAUGAACUGUGCUGAGUCCACCACUCUGUGCAACCUCUUGUGCUUCUGUGUGUUGUAAUUGCAAUACCAGGCCAUAAUGGCUGGGACGGCGUUCUGGUGGCGGUGACCUGAGUCCGGGGUUCAGCUGCCAGCCAGCGGCUGCGUCCGCUGGACUGGAGGGCGGCAGCUUCGACCACCCCGGGCCGCGGUGCUUGAGCCGGCCCGUUUGCGGGGUUCGGUGAGCCGCGGGACUGUUUGUACCAUCGCCCAGUGGGGUAUCGCCUCAGCGCAGAGGGAGAAGAGGAGGGAAGAGACUGCAGCCCUAAGAUUUUUGCCUCCACCACAGUGAGGAGGUGCUUGGAGGACUCACUGUGGUGGAUGUUAAUUUGUGUUUAUUGUUGUUUAUUAUUGUAUUAUUGUAUGUAUGACUGCAGGCACGAAAUUUUGUUCAGACCGUAAGGUCUGAAUGACAAUAAAGGAAAUUCUAAUUCUAAUUCUAAUUCUAAUGCAAUCAGUCAGGGUACUUUCCACAGUGCAUCUGAUGAAGUUUGUUAAGAGCAUCUCUUAAAAACCUUUAAGAAAGUAGAAGCGCUAGCGUGCCUUCUUCACUAUUGCAACUAUAUGCUGGACCCAGGUCAGGUAAUCCAAAAGUUAACGCCCAAGAAUUUGGAGCUGCUAACACUCCCCACCACCGACCCACCAAUGAAACUGGCACGUGGUCUCUUGACUUCCCCUUUCUGAAGUCAGUGAUUCGUUCCUUGGUUUUGUUGCUGUUGAGUGAAGCUGUGGCACCAUUCAACCAGGUGUUCUAUCUCUCUCCUGUAUGUUGCUGACUCUUCAUCACAGUGGUGUUAUAAGCAAAAUUAUAUAUGAGAUUGCAGUUAUGCUUCGCCAUCUAGCAAUGGGUGUUAAGGGUGUAGAGCAGGGGGCUAAGCAUGCAGCCUUGAAGUGCACCUAUAUUAAUGGCCAAAGAUGGUAGUCAUUGAGGCUUUUCAGGGGCAUCAAUAUGAUAUCCUUUUGAUACUCGUGGCAAUCUCAAACCGCAGAACCAAGAGUUUGAAAGGUUAUUUU